CAUGAUUAAAAUCGGUACACCUCUUCAAUGUCCGGUUUUGUAAGUAGUUAUUAUUAGUUUUCCUCAUUUCAAACUUUUCUGAACUUUUGGCCGGUAGCUUGAACUCAGGGGCAGGAGAAGAUGCGAGGUUCAUGGGAACUAUUCGACCUCCUGCAGUGACUCUGUGAUGUUUGGGUGACGCAUGUUCCUUCAAAAAUCGGGCGAAACCUGCAUCACUUUGGGCAAGAUUACCUUGGGGCGCGUUUAAUGGUUGGCGACGAGGAUACUGAACACUAUUGGCCUGUGAGAGCAACAAUCCGUCCUCAUUACUCAGCGAGAAGCUCGAGGAGAUUCGGUGACGGUUAACCGGUUUUUCCGCCAACACCCGAUUCUCAGAGUGUUCUUUGCGGUGCCUUAGAGAAGCGACUGUGAUAUCUGUCAGCUUGGCGUCAAAAGAAGGGAUGAUUUCAAGGUAAACAACAAGAUAUUACACACCAUCGAUACUAUUACAGCUG
rnacentral:sRNA from 1 species